rnacentral:rRNA from 1 species
AUUGAACGCUAGCGGGAUGCUUUACACAUGCAAGUCGAACGGCAGCGCGGACUUCGGUCUGGCGGCGAGUGGCGAACGGGUGAGUAAUGUAUCGGAACGUGCCCAGUAGCGGGGGAUAACUACGCGAAAGCGUAGCUAAUACCGCAUACGCCCUACGGGGGAACGCAGGGGAUCGUAAGACCUUGCACUAUUGGAGCGGCCGAUAUCAGAUUAGCUAGUUGGUGAGGUAACGGCUCACCAAGGCGACGAUCCGUAGCUGGUUUGAGAGGACGACCCGCCACACUGGGACUGAGACACGGCCCAGACUCCUACGGGAGGCAGCAGUGGGGAAUUUUGGACAAUGGGGGCAACCCUGAUCCAGCCAUCCCGCGUGUGCGAUGAAGGCCUUCGGGUUGUAAAGCACUUUUGGCAGGAAAGAAACGUCGCGGGCUAAUACCCCGUGGAACUGACGGUACCUGCAGAAUAAGCACCGGCUAACUACGUG